rfam:Mesitornis unicolor contig51480, whole genome shotgun sequence.
CCCAUCAAUCGCUCAGUAGUCAGUGUAGAUUCUGUUUUUUACAAUCAGCAGCUACAUCUGGCUACUGGGUCUCUGAUGGCAUCU